ACCUGUAUCAUUCUCUACAUGAAUGCCAUUCUACCUCAUGCUGCACAGGCUGUAUGCAGAUGUCAGGAUUCAGAUCAUACAGUCUCUAUUCUUGCUGAUGUAUUCUGCAUCACUCAUUAAUGAUGUAGGAAGCAGGAAGUCCCUCUGAAGCUCCAGCAUCAAAACAGUGUAACGAAACAAAACAGUGUCAGAAAUUGCGUGACUCCUUUUCACUUCAUUAUUUGCCUGCUAUUUUGAUGGUAUUAGAACACUGUGUUGGAUACAGAUGCUUUUAGAUUAGACACCGUAAUAUAAAGCGCACUAUCAAUAAAAGUCUAUUUUCUGGAUAUUUCUCAUACAUAGGGGGCACCAGAUUAUAAGGCGCAGUAUGCAACUCUAGUACACUAGUAGGGGGUCACUAAGUUAAGUAAAGCUAAGCUAAGUAAAGAAAACUGUAAUUCUUAAAAAAAAACAUUUUCUUUUGAAGUCAAACGAGUUCUGGAUUCUAAUCUACACAGAUUUCUCUCCUGAAAACUUUAUUUGGAUAAGGUAUCUGGAAAAACACUUGCAUCAAAGCAGCCUCCAGAAUCUCUCUACUCCAACCUCCUACAGAGCCUGUGGUCUGAGCACUGUAACACCAUACAGACCCAUCACGCCUCUCAGAGGUAGAGUACACAUCCUCUCUGGGGGGGGAAGUGUCCUUCUCACUCCAGCUGCUACAACCUGCAGUUAAAGAGACUAGUCUGGAGACUAUGCAGCAAGAGUUCUUCUUGGGCCAUUUUCAGUCACCAUAUGAGUAUUUCUCCUGUUCUACAGCCGAGAGCGCCCGGGGCAACAGCACUGCCACCACAAGCAAUGUCAGAGAUGAGUUACAGUUAAUGUUUGAGCAGCUAUUCCACAGGCUGUUUUCACCCAGUCACGAAUGUCCCGCUUGCCCUCUUCACCACUACAAAACUGUCUCUUUGCAUGCCAACAAAAAUGUUUGGACAGUUGCAACAGCU